rnacentral:tRNA from 1 species
GUCGGCGUGACGGAAUUGGUAAACGUAUCGCUACAGCGGUCCCGAAAGGGUGCAGGUUCGAUCCCUGCCGCCGGCC